AACAAACGCUGGCGGCGUGCCUAAUACAUGCAAGUCGAACGGGGAAAGCUUUCGGGUGAGUACUAGUGGCGCACGGGUGAGGAACGCGUGGAUAAUCUGCCUUAGAGUGGGGGAUAACUAGUCGAAAGAUUAGCUAAUACCGCAUAAGACCACAGGAGCUGCGGCUCAAGGGGUCAAAGGUUUUUCGCUCUAAGAUGAGUCCGCGUAAGAUUAGCUAGUUGGUGAGGUAUCGGCUCACCAAGGCGACGAUCUUUAACUGGUCUGAGAGGAUGAUCAGUCACACUGGAACUGAGACACGGUCCAGACUCCUACGGGAGGCAGCAGUAGGGAAUAUUGCACAAUGGAGGAAACUCUGAUGCAGCGACGCCGCGUGAGUGAUGAAGGCCUUCGGGUCGUAAAGCUCUGUCGCAGGGGAAUAACACAAUGAAUGUACCCUGUAAGAAAGGAUCGGCUAACUUCGUGCCAGCCGCCGCGGUAAGAC
rnacentral:rRNA from 1 species